CGUCUAUAUACGUAUAGCAUAUCAAUAAGCGGAGGAAAAGAAACUAACUAGGAUUCCCUCAGUAACGGCGAGUGAAGCGGGAAGAGCUCAAAUUUGAAAUCUUCAAGGUUCUACCUUGACGAAUUGUAGUUUAAAGAAGUGUUUUCUGUUGAGUUUUCGGUAAAAGUUCUUUGGAAUAGGACAUCAUAGAGGGUGAGAAUCCCGUAUUUGACCAUUAUUUCCAACUUUGUGAUACACUUUCAAAGAGUCGGAUUGUUUGGGAAUGCAGUCCAAAAUGGGUGGUAAAUUUCAUCUAAAGCUAAAUACUGGCGAGAGACCGAUAGCGAACAAGUACCGUGAGGGAAAGAUGAAAAGAACUUUGAAAAGAGAGUUAAACAGUACGUGAAAUUGUCAAAAGGGAAGCGUUUGACACCAGUGUUGUUUUCUCGAAAAUCAAUUAAAAAAUGAGGGGAUUUUGUGUUGUAUUGACUUCAUCAGCUUUCUGCACUCUUUUCUUGUCUUUUUUAAUGCACUUUUCGUUUAACAAGUCAACAUCAAUUUCUUUUGUUGUAAAAGGGUCAUUGGAAGGUGGCUUUCUUUUCGGAGAAAGUGUUUAUAGCCUUUGCCUCUGCAAUCGGAGAGAUUGAGGUCUGCAGCGUAGAUCCUUCGGGGUUAGAUGCAUUUGUGCUAAGUUAUAGCCUUUCAUAGACAACUUGUUGACUAUGAUCAGUCAUGUAGCUUACUCGCUUAUGCUAUUUUACCUACGCUUAGGAUGUUGAUCUGUAGUGCGUGCGC
rnacentral:rRNA from 1 species